UUAAAAAGCAGAACCCCCGCAAAGCAGCGGGCCCGGACUCCGUCUCCCCCUCCACCCUGAAGCACUGUGCUGACCAGCUGUCUCCGGUGUUCACUGACAUCUUCAACACCUCCCUGGAGACAUGCCACGUUCCAGCCAGUGGUGUAUAGUAACGAAGUAGAAGUACUUCGUUACUUUACUUAAGUAGUUUUUUUGGGUAUCUGUACUUUAUUUUACUACUUAUAUUUCUGUUUACUUUUACUUCACUACAUUUUGCAAUGAAAACUUGUACUUUUACUCCGAUACAUUUCCCCUGAAACAGUAUCGUUACUCGUUACUACGGAAAAAAAUAAUCAUGAGAAACAUCGGGGACUGUUGUGGAACACACCGCAGCGCACCUGAACGCAGCACAUCGGGGACUGUUGUGGAACACACCGCAGCGCACCUGAACGCAGCACGAACACGCAGGUGGUCAGUGGUCCUUGCCGCGUGUUUUCUGUUCCCAGUGAUGCCCAGGAUGCUAGCGAGCGAGCGGCUACAGAUACGACUCAUUUCAUGUGGAGCAGCAAUGGAAGCUACUCGAACAACCACGGGGACCAAGAUCAACGUCCGUGGCCAUAUUUGGGCGAACUCUUUUCUUUUGUCGGAGUGAAAGUUUCUUCCUACCGGAUGAAGUGCCUCUCAUGCCGACCGAAAGCUACGGAGAUACUGGCCUUCAACAACUCACCAACCUCAGGAAACACAUUGAGGAAUGGACUACAUCAAGCAGCACAUGGAAGAACCCUCCCUGCAGCUAGGUGAUGCCACCAGGUCCAGUUCAUCUGAUGAAGAGGACUUCUUCUUCAUCAUCUCAAGCGCAUGACAGCAGCAAACAGCUGGAUGGAGACGUGGAUCAAGUUGACUUGCUGAAAUGCUUCCCAACUGUGUGCAGGCUGUCUGUGAAGCUAGACACACUCUACCUGCACCAGGGCCUGUGAAGCUAGACACACUCUACCUGCAUCAGGGCCUGUGAAGCUAGACACACUCUACCUGCAUCAGGGCCUGUGAAGCUAGACACACUCUACCUGCACCAUGUGAACGGCUCUUCAGCAUCGCAGGACUCGUCUUCAGCCCCAGAAGAAUGACACGGAAAUCUGUCCAUUUUGAAAAUCAACUUCUUUUGAAGAUGAACAAUACAUUUUUCACUUUAAAGUGAUGAUUCUGGUUGUUACUUUUGCUUCUGCUUUUUUCUGUGUUAAUUGUGUUUUUAUAUUUUAGUAAUUUCAUAGUAUUCAUAUAUUGCUAAGUUCACCCGAGCUCAUACUCCUUGUUCAUGGCGGCCACAGCACCCAAACAAAUAAACUUUAUAAUUCUCAAAAUUCUGA